rnacentral:rRNA from 1 species
AGGACGAACGCUGGCGGCGUGCUUAACACAUGCAAGUCGAGCGAGGCCUUCCCUUCGGGGGAGUGCCCUAGCGGCGAACGGGUGAGUAACACGUGGGCAACCUGCCCCUAGCACUGGGAUAACUCCGGGAAACCGGGGCUAAUACCGGAUAUGACCUUUGAGGGCAUCCUCUUUGGUGUAAAGGAUUCUGGCUAGGGAUGGGCCCGCGGCCUAUCAGCUUGUUGGUGGGGUAAUGGCCUACCAAGGCGACGACGGGUAGCCGGCCUGAGAGGGCGACCGGCCACACUGGGACUGAGACACGGCCCAGACUCCUACGGGAGGCAGCAGUGGGGAAUAUUGCACAAUGGGCGAAAGCCUGAUGCAGCGACGCCGCGUGAGGGAUGACGGCCUUCGGGUUGUAAACCUCUUUCAGUACCGACGAAGCGAAAGUGACGGUAGGUACAGAAGAAGCACCGGCCAACUACGUGCCAGCAGCCGC